AGUCACUAUUAUACAAUUUGUUCGAAGUUUGCUAUCACAGAUUGUUCGGCUAUUAGUGUUAUUAGUUACAAAAGUUUGCUAUCACAGAUUGUUCGGCUAUUAUCAGAAAAGAUAUACGUGUUGUACAAAACAAGGCACCGAUCAGUUUACACAACAAAUAACGUUCAGGACGACAACAAGACUAUCCACGUAAAGUAGGCACUAAACGUAA